GAUGAACGCUGGCGGCGUGCCUAAUACAUGCAAGUCGAGCGAACAGAUGAGGAGCUUGCUCCUCUGACGUUAGCGGCGGACGUGUGAGUAACACGUGUAUAACCUACCUAUAAUACUGGGAUAACUUCGGGAAACCGGCUCUAAUACCGUAUAAUCUCUUGAUCCGCAUGGUUCAAUAGUGAAAUACGGUUUUUCUGUCACUUAUCGAUGGUUCCGCGCCGCAUUAGCUAGUUGUUAAGGUAACGGCUUACCAAGGCAACGAUGCGUAGCCGACCUGAGAGGGUGAUAGGCCACACUGGAACUGAGACACGGUCAAGACUCCUAAGGGAGGCAGCAGUAGGGAAUGUUCGGCAAUGGGCGAAAGCAUGACGGAGCAAGGCCGAGUGAGUGAUGAAGGUCUUCGGAUCGUAAAACUCUGUUAUUAGGGAAGAACAAAUGUGUAAGUAAAUAUGCAGGGCUUGACGGUACCGAAUAAGAAAGCAACGGCUAACUACGUG
rnacentral:rRNA from 1 species